rnacentral:rRNA from 1 species
CUUAGUGGCGGACGGGUGAGUAACGCGUGGGGAACCUGCCCUGUACAGGGGGAUAACACUUAGAAAUAGGUGCUAAUACCGCAUAAGCGCACAGUAUCGCAUGAUACAAGUGUGAAAAACUCCGGUGGUACAGGAUGGACCCGCGUCUGAUUAGCUGGUUGGCGGGGUAACGGCCCACCAAGGCGACGAUCAGUAGCCGGCCUGAGAGGGUGAACGGCCACAUUGGGACUGAGACACGGCCCAAACUCCUACGGGAGGCAGCAG